rnacentral:tRNA from 1 species
GGGCCCGUGGUCUAGCCUGGACAAGACACAGGCCUGCGGAGCCUGCAACCCGGGUUCGAAUCCCGGCGGGCCC